rnacentral:lncRNA from 1 species
CCUCGGUGGACAGCAGGAGAAAGCUAAUAGACCAGUCCCGGGCUCCCCACCCGCAGAGGUGGUUUAGAGGGACAUGGAUCAUUCCAAGAGAAAGGAGGACCAGACCCGGUCCUGGCUUCAGGAUAGCCUCACUGGGUUGCAGAGACACAUGCCAGUGGACCCAGCUGCCUGCCCUUCCUCAGCACCCCCAGCACUUCCUACAAGCCUAGCUCUGCCCAUGCUGCUUCCUGAGCCCACAGAGCCCAUCCCAUGCCCUUCUAGAAGCCAACACUCCUCAUCUGUUCAGUGACUGGCUGACUAUCUGCCUUGGUCUGAGCUUAUUCCAGGACCCAACUCCCUUACUCCCAUGGAGAGGCCUGGCUGUAUGGACACUUCCAAAAGACCACCUUGGCCUUCGAUGCACUUGAAGCCAUGGAGAAAGAGAGAAGCUGCCAGUGAGCGGGCAGCACUGACCCCUGGCUGGCCUGGGAGGACACACUGUUGGCUUCCUGGCUGUGGCAAUAAUCGGUGCCUGGGUGCUUCCUCCCAAGCUGGCUGUCCCAAGCAGGAAGACCACAGGGCAGGUUCCUCCCAAGGGCCACACUGCCUGGCCAAUGAAGUAAUGCUGGCACAAUGCCCUUUCAGAGUUGCAAAAGAAUGAUAACCUUUGAUUGCCCAAGAUGGUCAACAGCCACUCCUGGGCUCUGCUACUGGCAAAAUAUGAGCAAUUCAUUUAUUCAACAAGAAGUUUAUUGAGCACCUAUUAUUUCCAGGCACUUUCCAAAUGGUACAAAGGCAAAAUCCCUGCUCUCAAGGAGCUUCCAUUCUCUUCAGAAGGAGACAAGCAACACAGAAUAUAAUACAAAAAAGUAUAGUAUAGAAGACUGCAAUAAAUUGCACGGAUGAAAAAAUAAAUCAAAAAGAGCACAAUGUUCCUCACCUCCACCGCAGCUCAAAAGAAGGUGACCUUUGAGACCUGAAGGAGGUGAUGGAGGGAGCCAUGAUAAUACCUAGGGGAAGAGCAUUCCAGCAAAGGACACAGCACAGGCAAAGGUCCUGAGGCAGGAUGCAUCUGACACUUUUGGGGACAGGCAGGAGGGUAGUGUGGUUGGAGGUGGAAGGACAGAAGCUAGCCAUUGCCCUUGGCCCUGGGCACCACCCUGUGAAACGAAGCCUCUUCCCUCAUUGUACAGAUUAUAAAAUUGAGGUCCCGAAAGGUCACACAGGCUACACAUGGCAGAUUCAAGCCAGACUUAUUCAAGCAUGAAGCCCAAGUUCUCCACACUCUGCUUCACUCCCAGCCUGGUCAGGAUCCCAGCGAGGAGAUCCAGCCACAGACCUCAAGGGAGGGGAGCAAAGUCAGGACACCCGC